UGGGGAAUUUUGGACAAUGGGCGAAAGCCUGAUCCAGCCAUGCCGCGUGCAGGAUGAAGGCCUUCGGGUUGUAAACUGCUUUUGUACGGAACGAAAAGACUCUGGUUAAUACCUGGGGUCCAUGACGGUACCGUAAGAAUAAGCACCGGCUAACUACGUGCCAGCAGCCGCGGUAAUACGUAGGGUGCAAGCGUUAAUCGGAAUUACUGGGCGUAAAGCGUGCGCAGGCGGUUAUAUAAGACAGAUGUGAAAUCCCCGGGCUCAACCUGGGAACUGCAUUUGUGACUGUAUAGCUAGAGUACGGCAGAGGGGGAUGGAAUUCCGCGUGUAGCAGUGAAAUGCGUAGAUAUGCGGAGGAACACCGAUGGCGAAGGCAAUCCCCUGGGCCUGUACUGACGCUCAUGCACGAAAGCGUGGGGAGCAAACAGGACUAGAUACCCUGGUAGUCCACGCCCUAAACGAUGUCAACUGGUUGUUGGGUCUUCACUGACUCAGUAACGAAGCUAACGCGUGAAGUUGACCGCCUGGGGAGUACGGCCGCAAGGUUGAAACUUAAAUGAAUUGACGGGGUCAUAGCUGUUUCCU
rnacentral:rRNA from 1 species